GGUUCGGUCAUGUCCAGAUUGAACGCUGGCGGGAUGCUUUACACAUGCAAGUCGAACGGCACGGACUUCGGUCUGGUGGCGAGUGGCGAACGGGUGAGUAAUGUAUCGGAACGUGCCUAGUAGCGGGGGAUAACUACGCGAAAGCGUAGCUAAUACCGCAUACGCCCUUCGGGGGAAAGCAGGACCUUCGGGCCUCGCACUAUUAGAGCGGCCGAUAUCGGAUUAGCUAGUUGGUGGGGUAACGGCUCACCAAGGCGACGAUCGUAGCUGGUUUGAAGAGGACGACCAGCCACUGGGACUGAGACACGGCCCAGACAACUCCUACGGGGAGGGCAGCAGUGGGGAAAUUUUGGACAAUGGGGGAAACCCUGAUCCGUACCAUCCCGCGUGUGCGAUAAAGGCCUUCGGGUUAUGUGUAAAGCACUUUUGGCAGGAAAAAAACGGCACGGGAUAAUACCCCGUGCAACUUGUGUACCUGCAGAAUAAGCACCGGCUAACUACGUGCCAGCAGCCGCGGUAAUACGUAGGGUGCAAGCGUUAAUCGGAAUUACUGGGCGUAAAGCGUGCGCGAACGGUUCGGAAAGAAAGAUGCUGAAAUCUGAGCUUAACUUUGGAACUGCAUUUUUAACUACCGAGCUAGAGUGUGUCAGAGGAGGGUGGAAUUCCGCGUGUAGCAGUGAAAUGCGUGGGCUAUGCGGAGGAACACCGACGGCGAAGGCAGCCUCCUGGGAUAACGACGCUCAUGCACGAAAGCGUGGGAGCAGAGCAGGAUUAGAUACCCUGGUAGUCCACGCCUAAACGAUGUCAACUAGCUGUUGGGGCCUUCGGGCCUUGGUAGCGCAACUAACGCAUGAAGUUGACCGCCUGGGAAGUACGGUCGCAAGAUUAAAACUCAAAGAAAUUGACGGGGACGCACAAGCGGUGGAUGAUGUGGAUUAAUUCGAUGCAACGCGAAAAACCUUACCUACCCUUGACAUGUCUGGAAUCCCGAAGAGAUUUGGGAGUGCUCGCAAGAGAACCGGAACACAGGUGCUGCAUGGCUGUCGUCAGCUCAUUGAUAAAGCGAGAUGUUGGGUUAAGUCCCGCAACGAGCGCAACCCUUGUCAUUAGUUGCUGCGAAAGGGCACUCUAAUGAGACUGCCGGUGACAAACCGGAGGAAGGUGGGGAUGACGUCAAGUCCUCAUGGCCCUUAUGGGUAGAACUACACGUCAUACAAUGGUCGGGACAGAGGGUCGCCAACCCGCGAGGCAAAUCCCAGAAACCCGAUCGUAGUCGGAUCGCAGUCCUGCAACUCGACUGCGUGAAGUCGGAAUCGCUAGUAAUCGCGGAUCAGCAUGUCGCGGUGAAUACGUUCCCGGGUCUUGUACACCGCCCGUCACACCAUGGGAGUGGGUUUUACCAGAAGUAGUUAGCCUAACCGUAAGGAGGCGAUUACCACGGUAGGAUUCAUGACUGGGGUAAGUCAUGCUUUCGAUAG
rnacentral:rRNA from 1 species